rnacentral:rRNA from 1 species
UACGUAGGGCGCAAGCGUUUGUCCGGAAUUAUUGGGCGUAAAGAGCUCGUAGGCGGCUUGUCGCGUCGAUUGUGAAAGCCCGGGGCUUAACUCCGGGUCUGCAGUCGAUACGGGCUAGCUAGAGUGUGGUAGGGGAGAUCGGAAUUCCUGGUGUAGCGGUGAAAUGCGCAGAUAUCAGGAGGAACACCGGUGGCGAAGGCGGAUCUCUGGGCCAUUACUGACGCUGAGGAGCGAAAGCGUGGGGAGCGAACAGG